rnacentral:rRNA from 1 species
CAUGCAAGUCGAACGAGAAUCUACUGAAAGAGUUUUCGGACGAUGGAAGUAGAGGAAAGUGGCGGACGGGUGAGUAACGCGUGAGGAACCUGCCUUGAAGAGGGGGACAACAGUUGGAAACGACUGCUAAUACCGCAUGAAGCAUAGGGGUCGCAUGAUUCUUAUGCCAAAGAUUUAUCGCUUCAAGAUGGCCUCGCGUCUGAUUAGCUAGUUGGCGGGGUAACGGCCCACCAAGGCGACGAUCAGUAGCCGGACUGAGAGGUUGAACGGCCACAUUGGGACUGAGAUACGGCCCAGACUCCUACGGGAGGCAGCAGUGGGGAAUAUUGGGCAAUGGGCGCAAGCCUGACCCAGCAACGCCGCGUGAAGGAAGAAGGCUUUCGGGUUGUAAACUUCUUUUAAGAGGGAAGAGCAGAAGACGGUACCUCUAGAAUAAGCCACGGCUAACUACGUGCCAGCAGCCGCGGUAAUACGUAGGCGGCAAGCGUUGUCCGGAUUUACUGGGUGUAAAGGGCGUGCAGCCGGGUCUGCAAGUCAGAUGUGAAAUCCAUGGGCUCAACCCAUGAACUGCAUUUGAAACUGUAGAUCUUGAGUGUCGGAGGGGCAAUCGGAAUUCCUAGUGUAGCGGUGAAAUGCGUAGAUAUUAGGAGGAACACCAGUGGCGAAGGCGGAUUGCUGGACGAUAACUGACGGUGAGGCGCGAAAGUGUGGGGAGCAAACAGGAUUAGAUACCCUGGUAGUCCACACUGUAAACGAUGAAUACUAGGUGUGCGGGGACUGACCCCCUGCGUGCCGCAGUAAACACAAUAAGUAUUCCACCUGGGGAGUACGAUCGCAAGGUUGAAACUCAAAGGAAUUGACGGGGGCCCGCACAAGCGGUGGAUUAUGUGGUUUAAUUCGAAGCAACGCGAAGAACCUUACCAGGGUU